AUUGAACGCUGGCGGCAUGCUUUACACAUGCCAGUCGAAUGGUAACAGGCCGCAAGGUGCUGACGAGUGGCGAACGGGUGAGUAAUGCAUCGGAACGUGCCCAGUCGUGGGGGAUAACUACUCGCAAGAGUAGCUAAUACCGCAUACGAUCUAUGGAUGAAAGCGGGGGACCGUAAGGCCUCGCGCGAUUGGAGCGGCCGCUGUCAGAUUAGGUAGUUGGUGGGGUAAAGGCUCACCAAGCCAACGAUCUGUAGCUGGUCUGAGAGGACGACCAGCCACACUGGGACUGAGACACGGCCCAGACUCCUACGGGAGGCAGCAGUGGGGAAUUUUGGACAAUGGGCGCAAGCCUGAUCCAGCAAUGCCGCGUGCAGGAAGAAGGCCUUCGGGUUGUAAACUGCUUUUGUACGGAACGAAACGGCUCUGGUUAAUACCCGGGGCUAAUGACGGUACCGUAAGAAUAAGCACCGGCUAACUACGUG
rnacentral:rRNA from 1 species